GUCUGUGCUUCUUUUAAAAUUAGCACCAUUAUGUGCCUUUCACAAAACUUGCAAGGGUUUUGCGUUCCAGUGUCACAUUUCAUGAGGAAGCAGUGGCAACUACUGAAAAUAUAGAAGCAUUUUACAUUAAGGAACAUUGACAUGAAAAAAAUAAAGGAAGAAGAUGUCUCAGGAGAAAACAGGUAGGCUGUAGUCCUUCAAAAGCUGAAGAGGCUAUGAAGAAUGCAGUGUGACCCCUGGGGCAGGAUGAAGUCAACCUGAGUGCUGAGGAAGAAAAAAGUGGAUGUGGUGGUUUUGGAUUUGCUAGGUGGCCUCUGAGGCCUACUUAGAGAUCUACAAUUACCAAGAAGACAGUUUUGCUAAUCUGCAGCAACAUGUAUGACCUGCUCAUGUUUAGCCUUGGACUACAGCAUGCUCUGCUCCAAAGCAUGGACCAGAGGGAUGGUUUUGGCCAGGCAGUGGGAGACUGACUGAGUUCAAACUGGACCAUAGGUCAGUCUAAACAGCUUCUGCUGUUUUGGAAGAACAUAGUAUCAACACCAGAAACCUUAGUAUAUCUACAACUGUAAAGUGAAAGGUACCAGUGCAGAUGCAUCAGCUGUAAUAAAUACUCUGUUGUUAGACCUGCUAGGCUGUCACACCCUUUGUCACAUCCUGGAAUGAUCUAACAGUGCAGGGAAAUUGUAGCCCCUGCAACCUCUGCCCCUGCCUAGAUUUCUCCUCUAAACUUAGGAGCCAUCACAUGACUGAAAAAGACAGUUGAGGAGGGACCAUGAGCACCUGAAACAUUAUCAACAUAAAGUUUUCGACAGUCAGGAGAAGGGAAUAUUUUGUUUUCUCUAUAUUCAUUUUGAUUGUUGAUGUAUUGUUGUUAAUAACUAGAUUUAUAAUAUACAAACUGACUUGUCUGUAUAUUUGUGCGUAUGGAACUUAUUAUAUACCAUAUUAUAUGAAGCUCUUGAAUGAAGGACAUUUUAUGAUGAUUCUUUUCAGCCUUGUAUGUUGUGUUUGUUUAUGACAACUGUGUUUCUUGAUGUGCACUCCCACACAUCUCAUUCAGGGUCUAUGUGAAGCGUAGCAUGAAAAUGCAGUAUGGGACACAUUACACUGCUCUGUCACGUGACAUAUCAGUCAUACUGCAUUACAACACAGUCGGUGUUACUCCAUUCAACAAUGUUUGUACUCCUAAGGUGUCCCAUAUCGCAUAUAUUGCCAUGCAUAUAUAGGUAAAGUCUGACCUCUUGCACAUUGCAACAUACAUCUAACCUGCCCUGUAUGAUAUGCAUAUUUAUGGUACUACAUAAUGAAAGCUUUGAAUGUACAGUUUUUCUAACAACUAUAUAAGGUUGUAGUGUCUUGCAUGUUCUUAAUGAACUUUUACCAACCACAUUCACAUAAGUUGCACAAACACCUGGCAAGACCUCCAUUUGUCCUGUGCGGGGGGACCUAUUUGCUUUACAGUAAUCUUACAUAUAGAGUUAUAGGGAAUUUUUGGGCAAAAAUGUUAGGAUGAUUUUGUUUCAAGUAGGAUUAUUGCAGACAUGUUUGUUGACAUACCUUCCGUGACUUUUCUCCAAUAAAUUGUUUAAAUUGUA